rnacentral:tRNA from 1 species
UAACCCAUUAAUUUUUUAUUUAAUAAUAUAUUUUAUAAGUAUAUUAAGGUGGAGUAGUUCAGUUGGUUAG